CACGUAGGGCGCAAGCGUUGUCCGGAAUUAUUGGGCGUAAAGAGCGUGUAGGCGGCCAGGUAGGUCUGCUGUGAAAACUCGAGGCUUAACCUCGAGCUGUCGGCGGAAACCAUUUGGCUAGAGUCCGGAAGAGGAGAAUGGAAUUCCCGGUGUAGCGGUGAAAUGCGCAGAUAUCGGGAAGAACACCCGUGGCGAAGGCGGUUCUCUGGGACGGUACUGACGCUGAGACGCGAAAGCGUGGGAGCGAACAGG
rnacentral:rRNA from 1 species